UAGAAUCCAAAGAGGUAAAUUCUGUUGCCUGUCCUGAAUAAGAACCUGAUCCUGCACACCUACUGCUGGAUUUUGAGUAUCUUCAACUCCGGAGGGUCCAAAGCAGUUCGUGGAAGAACCUCGGUGCUGGCAGCAGCAGGCCCUUCGCAGAGGAAGGGGGAGCACUGAUGCACAACGUCUGUGCGAACACUGACUUCAGCUAAGGGGAAUUACGAACAAGGAGCAAGGAGACAUCACAGCUGUAAUGGUACACUAUAAAGUGGAUUAUCAAAAUCUGAAAAAAUCUUAGAUGCUGUGAUUCAGCAAAAAACAAGAAAGACAGAAAGAAGAAGGAUAUAAAACAGUAUAAAAUUAAAAAAAAAAAAAAAAAAAAGGAAAGAAAGGAAAAGAAAAAGAAAAGGAAAAACUCCGAGAAGUGAAGAUACUCUGCUCCUGCUGAGAAAUAAGUGGUGGAGCUGAGCUCCUGGGAGCCCCUCCUCACUUUGAGCACUGUCCAUCAGUUCUUUUACCUGUCAACCCCUUUGGAAGAACUGUAUUGAUGUCCCAAGAACACAAACACUUGUCAAACCAGUGCACAUUCUCACAGAGA